rnacentral:rRNA from 1 species
CCUACGGGGGGCAGCAGUGGGGAAUAUUGCACAAUGGGGGAAACCCUGAUGCAGCAACGCCGCGUGAGCGAUGAAGGCCUUCGGGUCGUAAAGCUCUGUCCUAAGGGAAGAAUACUGACGGUACCUUAGGAGGAAGCCCCGGCUAACUACGUGCCAGCAGCCGCGGUAAUACGUAGGGGGCUGGCGUGAUCCGGAAUUACUGGGCGUAAAGGGUGCGUAGGCGGCCCUUCAAGGCAGAAGUGAAAGGCUACGGCUCAACCGUAAUAAGCCUUUGAAACUGUAGGGCUUGGGUGCAGGAGAGGAAACUCAAAAUCCCAGUGUAGCACUGCAAUGCGAAGAGAUUGCGAGGAGCACCAGUUCCGAAGCCGCCGCACCCGACUGGAACAGACAGUGAUGCAAGAACGGGUGGGGAGCGAACAGGAAUACAUACCCCAGAAGUC